rnacentral:sRNA from 1 species
UUUCAAGGAACAAAGACUAAGAACGCCAUGUCCUGUGACAACGUCUUUGUGACCAACAUCCUGUUGG